rnacentral:rRNA from 1 species
CUCUACAGCUAUCCCACUUUGGUCUUGUCUGAUCUUGGAAGCUAAGCAGAGUCAGUCUGAUUAGUACUUGGAUGGAAGAAAUGAUGAAUAGAAAGACAAUGGUUUGUGGUGG